GUUUCGGAACAAGAAGAAAGGAGAAAAAGAGCACGAGCGCAUCGUUAAAGCCGACUAACGUGAAAACACGUGACGAGACGAAGCAAAGAUGAAGAUGGAGAGCGUGAGGGAACUACAGAGAGGAGGAGGAGGAGGACACGGGCUGUGAGGGACGCAGUGGAGCAGCCCUCAGACCUACAUCAGCAGGAGCGAGGACGACCCCCCCAGUCUGAGGACGUUCCCACCACAUGAAUGGGGGACAGGAGGCGCAGCUUCCAGCCCAGCUGGUAGGAAAGUCCUCCUUGGGUGGACUUCUCUGUAACUAUGGACUCAUGCAUGCAGACGUUUCAGUCCACAGUGAUGUCAGUCAGUGCUUUUUAAAGAUGUGCACGUGUGCAGGAUGUGAAAUCUUCACUUUGAUUGUUAAAUGUUCACUUUGUUUGUGCUUCAAAUAAAUUCACUUCAUGGAUGAAACAGUUUGUUUUGGUUCUGUGGCCCAUGAAACCCCCCCUGAGCCCACCCUGGUGAAUCUGCUGUCAAACUUUAUCUUCAUCUAUCAAAUAUUUUACAUCAAAAUGCUCCUUCCACUCAUGUUCAUGUCCUUUUCCUGCACACUGAAGUCUGAGGCUUAAACAUGAAUCUGUCAACAGCUAUAAACACACUGGAGUCACUGCUUUUUCUUCUCAUGCACAUGAAUCAGGGUCUGUCCUUCAGCACAGAGACUUAAAUACACGAGUACAAAACAAGCAAGCGCUCCUUCAAAUCUGUGAGCGCGCGGUAACAAAAACACUUGACAUGUGAAAGAUCAUCAGUGUCUGAAUCUUCACAGAAAUGCAAAAAUAAAAACGUAGAAAAGAAAACAGCAGAUUUUUAGUGACAGAAGUGAAGAAAAUGCUGUUUUCAUUUUGCUUCCAGCAUCAGAAGAGUGUGACAUGAUGCACACAUGUAGAAACAGACACGUGUAGCUGUGCAUGGACACAUGAUUCCAUCUUUCUCAUGCAAACACCUACAGAAGCUGUAAACAGGCAGAGAAGCUUUCCUGCACAUGUUUGUGUUCUCAGCAGUGACGCUGCUCACAGCUGCUUCGUCCUCGUGGGUUUGGUGAGGCUGCAGGUCAGUAACCAUGGUUACAGGUGACGCUCUGAAACUGAUGAUCAAAGAUGUCAGGUUAUUGUUUCCAUGCAGAAUCAAGACUGAAGUCAAAUAAAUCCACUGUGUGUUUAGAUAGUGUGUCAGUGUCGUUUCCAUGGUAACAGUGACUUAUAAAAACAAAGGCGAUCCAUCAGUCCAGAUCAAUAAUGUGAGCUCAUUUAAGUGCACAUGUAUGUUUGUGUGUUCACAGCAUGAAGGCUGAUGUCCACUGAUGACUGCUGACAUCUAGUGGACAUUUGAUGACAUUACAACAACAGUUUGUGUGAAAUAAAUAAAAUGCAGAUAGAAAACAUUAAUUCACACAAGGAGAAGUCAUGUGACUGUGACGACAGAUG